rfam:Candidatus Methanomassiliicoccus intestinalis Issoire-Mx1, complete genome.
UAGGUUGGGGUCGGCGACCCCGCCGGCAUGGCUCUUCCACACUAUGUUAGCUCUGGUAUGGGGGGCAUUAGGACCGCAGGCGACCUUGUCGCCAGGAUGG